CCUACGGGGGGCUGCAGUGAGGAAUUUUCCGCAAUGGGCGAAAGCCUGACGGAGCAAUACCGCGUGAAGGAUUAAGGCCUAUGGGUUGUAAACUUCUUUUCUCAGAGAAGAAUUUUGACGGUAUCUGAGGAAUAAGCAUCGGCUAACUCUGUGCCAGCAGCCGCGGUAAGACAGAGGAUGCAAGCGUUAUCCGGAUUAAUUGGGCGUAAAGCGUCUGUAGGUGGUUUAUCAAGUUUUUUGUCAAAGAUCGGGGCUUAACUCCGGGCAGGCAGAGAAAACUAGUAGACUUGAGUUCGGUAGGGGCAGAGGGAAUUCCCGGUGGAGCGGUGAAAUGCGUAGAGAUCGGGAGGAACACCAAAGGCGAAGGCACUCUGCUGGGCCGCAACUGACACUGAGAGACGAAAGCGAGGGUAGCAAAUGGGAUUAGAUAC
rnacentral:rRNA from 1 species